ACAGCCAUAUAGUGUUGAAACAUUGGUCCCUGUACAAUCAUCGAAGUUAAGCAACGUUGGGCCUGGUCAGUACCUAGAUGGUUGACCAUUUGGAAACACCAAGUGUUGUAA